UACGUAGGGGGCAAGCGUUGUCCGGAUUCAUUGGGCGUAAAGAGCGUGUAGGCGGCCAGGUAGGUCGGUUGUGAAAACUGGAGGCUCAACCUUCAGACGUCGACCGAAACCAUCUGGCUAGAGUCCGGGAGAGGAGAGUGGAAUUCCUGGUGCAGCGGUGAAAUGCGCAGAUAUCAGGAAGAACACCCGUGGCGAAAGCGGCUCUCUGGAACGGUACUGACGCUGAGACGCGAAAGCGUGGGGAGCGAACAGG
rnacentral:rRNA from 1 species